GAGGGGGAGGGGCUCCUCCCCUUAGGCUGAGACCGUAGUGGCCCAGGUGUGUUAGCAUCAGGACCACAUCGGCCAAUGGUGCCACAAGGAGACGCACUGGACCUGCUCCCACUUGCCAGGGAGUCUUCACAUAGGAAAGAUCAUGGAUGCUGUCAUUUUAAUACAAUAGAAGAGCCUCUUAGAAUGCAGAGACAUAAUAUCGUCAUACAGCGGAGGAAAGGCUUGGCAGAAGGAGACCAAACAAGGCAGGGUCGGCAUGAAGAAAGCGUAGCGCUUUGUCUGGGUUAAAACUGACCCUUACUCUGAGGUCCAAUGGCAGCAGCACUUUGAAUAUUCUUUAGCAGACUGUGAGAGUUGCUGCCCUGAGCUUUCUCCUCUUCUGUAGGUAAGCAAAUCUCUAAAAGGAUCUGCACAGCAGCACUGUCCUGGAAAGGAGUCAAGCAGCGCAAAAGUUAGUAAAACAAAAUGAAGCAUGAAGUAUACAUGUGUACUCAUGGAGUAACUUACAUACAAACACACUGUGCCCAUGGAAAAAGCAGAUUCAUGAAUGAAACAUUUGCUUGUUACAUGUUCUGCCCAUUCAUCAGAUAUGGUCAAACAAUAUAACCACAGCAAGGCUGUUAUCCACCAAA